rnacentral:sRNA from 1 species
GGGGAAGGAUGAGAAGCUUCGACCAAGGUUCGACUCGAGCGCCAGCGAGAGAGCGUGGCCGCAGGCAACGACCCGAAGGGCGAAGCGCGCAGCGCUGAGUAAUCCUUCCCCCACCACCA